GCGGUGUCCUUGUCCAAAGCCGUUCCCGAGGCCGUUCCCGAGGCCGUUCCCGAGGCGGUGCCCGAGGUCGUGCCCGAGGCCGUUCCCGAGGCGGUGUCCUUGUCCAAAGCCGUUCCUGAGGCCAUUCCUGAGGCCGUUCCUGAGACCGUUCCCGAGGCGGUGCCCGAUGCCGAGGUCGUUCCCGAGGCGGUGCCCGAUGCCGAGGCCGUUCCCGAGGCGGGGUCCUUGUCCAAUGCCGUUCCUGAGGCCAUUCCUGAGGCGGUGCCCGAUGCUGUUCCGGAGGCCGAUGCGGGGCCCGAGAUGGUUCCGGAGACAAUACCCGUGUCCAAGGCCGUUCCCGAGGCGGUGCCCUUGUCUGAGGCCGUUCCCGAUGCCGUUCCCAAUGCCGUGACCUGGCCAUCGCCACAGCCUGCUCCUUACUGGCUCCCCGAUUGGCAGGUUCCGUUCGGGCCACUCAAAUGGCGAAUUCCUCCCUGGCCGUCUGCACAACGAGAAUGGACUGAUCCACCGUGGCCACCUGAACUGCCUGGCCCCUCGUGGUCCCCUGAACUUUCGGGUCCACCGUGGCCACCUGAACUGCCUGGUCCCUCGUGGUCCCCUGAACUUGCGGGUCCACCAUGGCCCCCUGAUCUGACCGAGCCACCUGGGCUACCAGGGGAGCCAUCACUGCCGGUCCCAGUUCCCCUACACGGGCCUGGCCCGCCAUCCCUCCCCCUGUUCUGCCUCCACC
ensembl:lncRNA